rnacentral:rRNA from 1 species
GUGGGGAAUCUUGCGCAAUGGGCGAAAGCCUGACGCAGCCAUGCCGCGUGAAUGAUGAAGGUCUUAGGAUUGUAAAAUUCUUUCACCGGGGACGAUAAUGACGGUACCCGGAGAAGAAGCUCCGGCUAACUUAGUGCCAGCAGCCGCGGUAAUACGAAGGGGGCUAGCGUUGCUCGGAAUUACUGGGCGUAAAGGGCGCGUAGGCGGACAGCUUAGUCAGAGGUGAAAGCCCAGGGCUCAACCUUGGAAUUGCCUUUGAUACUGGCUGUCUUGAGUUUGGGAGAGGUGAGUGGAACUCCGAGUGUAGAGGUGAAAUUCGUAGAUAUUCGGAAGAACACCAGUGGCGAAGGCGACACACUGGCUCAUUACUGACGCUGAGGCGCGAAAGCGUGGGGAGCAAACAGGAUUAGAAACCCCAGUAGUCC